rnacentral:lncRNA from 10 species
CUGAGUCUGAGAGGACAUGGCGGUCGGUAAACAGGACUUAAUUCUGUUCCUCAUCCACCCAGAACCCUCCCUGAGGGCCUCCCCUGCACUUUGGAAACAGCCCAAGCUUUGAAAUCAGGAAGUUUGAAGACUGGUUCUGCUACUUCCAGGCUGUGUGGCCUUGGCGAAGAUGUUUUUGCUGUGUUGCCUGGGCUGGUCUCAAACUCUUGGCCUCAAGUCAUCCUCCCACCUCAGCCUCCUGAGUACGAGGGAUUACAAGCAUGAGCCACCACACCCAGCUUCUUUAAAAAGAAAAAAAAAUUUUUUAUUGACAUAUAAGCAUUGUAUAUAUUUAAGGUCUACAACUUGACACUUGAGGGAUUAAAGAGAGGAAUUCCCAGGAAAGUCAGAGACAGACAGCGAUCACCAUGCAAGGCAACAAAUGCCAAAGAGAGGAGGACUGCAGUGUGGGAGCCGUGGAGCCACGAAGAAGCCCUGGGACUCUUGGAAGACUCCACUGGGAAGAGGUGGUUUAAACUGGGUUUUGAAGAAUCGAGAAGGAGAAUCAGCCAAAGAAAUGUGCCAAGAUGCCAAGCUGAGAUAAUUCCAUAGGGCUACAGUGUAAGAGACAGAUCCAGGAAGGUGGGUCCAGGAAGGUGGCAGGGCCACAUCCUGACAAGCCACUGCUGUUAAUGAUGAAGAGCAGGGAGCCUGUGCAGCCUUGGAUUUCAUGGGAUAAUGCCUCCUAAGGCCCUGCUUGGGACAUUAGGCACUCACCCAGCCUCCUGCCCAUGCCAAUGGAGCAGGGGUUCCCUCCAAGUCCUGUCCCGGAAUGGUUCUGUUCCCAGGGAGGAUAGGAACUCGAAUUUGUGGAGCAGCUACUUGAUGUGCCAAACAUUUGUGUUCUCUUCAGCAAGAGGAUACUUGCUGGUGUGCCUGGGAGACUGUCCCAGGAUAAAUGGGGAGUGUCUUUCUAGAAUGUUAAUUGCACUCAAAGAUUGGGGAGGGAAAAUCAAUUAGUGUAAAUGGUAAAUAACUUAAAACAUUAUUUUUACAUCACAUCAAUAGUGGAUAUAUUAUGGAGCAGAAUGCUAAAGUAACACACAUUUUUCUUAAUUUCAUUUAUCAUUUGGAAAGGUAACACGAGCUCAUGAUACAAAAUUCAAAACAUGUAAGAGUUUAGAAUAGGCCGGGUGUGGUGGCUCAUGCCUGUAAUCCCAGCACUUUGGGAGGCCGAGGCGGGCGGAUCAUGAGGUCAGGAGUUCAAGACCAGCCUGGGCAACAUAGUGAAAUCCCAUCUCUACUAAAAAUACAAAAAUUAGCUGGGCGUGGUGGCACGUGCCUGUAGUCCCAGCUACUUGGGAGGCUGAAGCAGGAGAAUUGCUUGAACCCGGGAGGCGGAGGUUGCAGUGAGCCAAGACCGGGCCAUUGCGCUCCAGCCUGGGGACAGAGUGAGACUCCAC